UGGGUUUCAGACCAGAGGAUUCAACACGGACCUCCCUGAUGUCUCUGUCUCACUACACUCCUCAGGUACCUCUCUCUCCCCCCUCCCAGAGGAGCCCAGUGGGUUCCAGACCAGAGGAUUCAACAUGGACCUCCCUGAUGUCUCUGUCUCACUACAUCACUCCUCAGGCCUGUUGUCACCUAUUCAUGAAGAGAAGACUGCAGCGCUCCACCACCGUGGCCACCCUCUCCACUCAUCCCUUUCUCCUGAAGAGC